rnacentral:tRNA from 2 species
GGGGAUAUAGCUCAGUUGGUAGAGCGUCUGCCUUACAAGCAGAAUGUCAGCGGUUCGAGCCCGUUUAUCCCCA